rnacentral:lncRNA from 13 species
GUCUUUGGAUAACUCACAAAAUUUCUUUGGGCUCUCUAACAAAAUGAAAAUGCUGAAUUGGUAUUCUGUGAGAGCCUGAGCAUCUAUCUAUCUACUCUUCUUUUAUCCAUAUACUCAGGAAACAUGGAUUGAGCCCUUCCCCUGUGCCAGGUGACAGAGAUACAGAGGAACUUCACUUGACUAAGAACAAAUAACAACUUAACAAAAGAACUCACCUACCUGCCUCUUAACUAAAGGAUGUGUUUAUUACUUCCCCUUUCUACCACCACACUCCGUAGAACUACUUAUCUGCAUCUGUUUAACAAGGCACAUAACUUCCAGAUGGA